rnacentral:lncRNA from 1 species
CUUCCUGGCUGCUUUUUUUUCCUCCUAAAAUUUUCCCGACCUUUUAUUGCCGUUUUCCACUCUCAAUAAUGUUGGCGAGAAAUCUCUUAUCAACAGUGGGCGUAUUUAAUUGGGAAUUUUGGAAUGUCCCCCGUUGGUUUAGCUUUGUUCUUCCGAACUCCGUAUUGACACGAAAUUGUGAUAAAGUUGUUAUUUUCUCCGUCGUAGUGGAUUUUCUCUUGUUAUCAGUAAGAAACAACAAGAUUACCGCCGUGCUAUGUGCGGGUUUGCACCUUCUUGGAAAUCUAAACUUCAUGUCUGCUUGACCUUCUUAACGACUCUUC